GACGAACGCUGGCGGCGUGCCUAACACAUGCAAGUCGAGCGAAUGAAGUUCCUUCGGGAAUGGAUUUAGCGGCGGACGGGUGAGUAACACGUGGGCAACCUGCCUCAUAGAGGGGAAUAGCCUUCCGAAAGGGAGAUUAAUACCGCAUAAGAUUGUAGUACCGCAUGGUACAGCAAUUAAAGGAGCAAUCCGCUAUGAGAUGGGCCCGCGGCGCAUUAGCUAGUUGGUGAGGUAACGGCUCACCAAGGCGACGAUGCGUAGCCGACCUGAGAGGGUGAUCGGCCACAUUGGGACUGAGACACGGCCAGACUCCUACGGGAGGCAGCAGUGGGGAAUAUUGCACAAUGGGGGAAACCCUGAUGCAGCAACGCCGCGUGAGUGAUGACGGCCUUCGGGUUGUAAAGCUCUGUCUUCAGGGACGAUAAUGACGGUACCUGAGGAGGAAGCCACGGCUGACUACGUGCCAGCAGCCGCCGUAAGAC
rnacentral:rRNA from 1 species